CUCCCUGAUUAUGAUUUUGAGUUUGGCAACGAGGAAUUUGCUUAUUUGGAUGAUCUUCAUCAUCAUCAACAGCAUCCACUACCCUUCAAUAUUGCAUGCCCAUAAGUUUUGCAGCUAGGGUUUUUAUUCGUGUUAUUAGUAGUUUAUAUUAAGUUAUAUUACAGCAAGAAACACGUCUUAGGAACAAAAGAUGGGUUCUCUAGAUUGUUCUUGUGAGUGAGUUUUAAUUUAUUUGUUUGUUGAAAGAUGGAGGUAGGGAUG
rnacentral:misc_RNA from 1 species